CGGACUCCGUGCUCAGUGCUGAAAGCGAGUGACGUUCGUGCCGACCGUUGGACGAUAUUCGUUAACUGUGAAUCAGUGUGCUAAGUGAAAAACUGUGAUGAACCACUAUUUGUUGAUGGAAAUCCGCGUCGGCUGUCGUAAGAUUAAAAUAUAUUUCAAAUGAUACGUUCUCGAUUCCUCUCAACAGUCACUUAAAAUAUAAUAUAGAUAUAAGUCAUAAAUUACACUUAAAAUGAGGGUAGUCGAAGGCUAAAAUUCUGUCAUCACAAAAUAUUCCCACCCUCAGUGGAGACGGGUGAUGAGUUAAUAAAGUCGUGAUAGAGAUCUUUACGUUAGUAAUAAAUGGAACAAUGAGAUGUUAGUCGUUAUCGAAGGGCGCACGUCAUCGGAGCGUGACCCUGGUGGCUGGUUGCCGGUUGCUGGUUGCUGAUUGCUAACGACUGGUUGCUUACGGCAACACCCCGCUCACCCCCGCCUGUUCAUUGCCCUUAAUAUCUCUCCUGUUUUACACCGUUUUCUUAUCAUUCCAGACCGUUUAGACUCUUAGAAGAACUAUUACCACGUAAAAUAUUUUAUGUUAUUCAAAUAAUGUUAUUUAUUACUUAAAAAAACAAUACAUUUUUUUCCUUUUCGACAUGGAGGUUAAUGAAAACCUAUUAAAAUAUCUCUCUAUCUUAUAAAUAAUAUUCCAAACAACUCUUUACAGCUUCCGCUAGAGAAAGAACAUUUUUAUUAUAAUAAUUCUCUUACUAAAAAUAUUUCAUAACAUAUAUUUGAUGUGUUACUCGACAAACAUGUUAUAUUCUAUGAAAUUAAAUAGCAAAUAUGUAGAUCUGUCAUAAUUCUCAGAAUGUGUAAACGAUCCUGUCCAGGGACCUUAUUUAAUAUGAUAAUGUCGAUCAGGUGCUACGUCAGCGACACGUGUAAAUGACUCACAUGUUGCUGACGUAGGGUCGCCCUUCGCCCUCCGCCCUCCGGCCUCCAGCCGCCUCUGCCUCCGCUCCUGAUAUGUCAUAUCAGAGUGACGGUGACAUUUCGGCCGCGACGCCUACUGGCGUCUCCGCUUCCGUUAGCAGCGUGGGCGCACAUUUCAUAAGCACUUCCUCCCACCGACGGAUGAGUGGAGUCCCACGAGCCGUGCAACUAGCAUGUGAGACGGCCCCGAUAUGCAAAUAACAUUACUGUACCGGUCAGACGUCGGAGACGUUUAUCAUUGUAAAUAGCUCGCGCUCUGUCUGACUGUACUAUACUGUAGUGUACUGUAGUGUGGUACGAGUCGUCAGCGGCGGUUCCCAGCCCCACGAUGAGCCAAUAAGGGUCGCGCCACAAAAAGCGAUCAUUAUAAAGGUUGUAAAGACUGCACCGGCGCCGAGCCUUCCCAGAACCGGGGCCAUUCUUAUUUCGCGCUCCCGCCUUAUUCACGGGCCUUUUUUGUUCGGCUUUGGUAAUUUUUUUGAGACGCGGUGCCUGUGAGAGCUUCAAGGAAAUGGCUUAUUGGAUUUCGUAUAGCAGGCUCGCUUAUCUGAGAGGAGCGAUCGCAGCGGCCGGCCCUGGGACUCGGGAGCGCUCGGUGCAGUCGUGUACCGCUCCCACACCGUUACGUUAGCGAGCCGCAUUCCAUUGCACCUACAUGACAUCGCCUGCCUCUAUGACGUCACUCGGCAAUCAUAGACACCACGGGGAUUUUGGAUAGCUGCUUCAUGAUGUUUUUCACCAGGCCGGGGAGUGUUUUAGACCGUGACGUCACACGAGAUUACGCCUAGCAAGGAGCAAUGAGGAAUAUUUGGAAUGUGGAUACAACAUGCGAGCUGGAAGAUCUGCGACCGAGACGUAUAUGAAGAUACAGAGGAUUCAGAAGACAAAGGAAUUACGAAACUGGUUUUCAUAAUGAUUUGACAGAUUGUUCAUGUAUUCUGAGAUCAUUGUGAAAGCUAAUUUUGUUCCUGAGUUGAAUGAAAACUAUGAAGAAUUUUGGAACAUGUACACUUGAAGAACAACUUGGAGAUUUUAAAAGUAUCUUAGUAUUUAUUAAUAAAAAUAUGUAUAUUUUUCAAGUAAAUGUCUUAUUUAGAUUAUUAUUAUUUAUGUUAUGUUAAUUGUUGUUUGUAUUGAUAUGAAUAUAUAUAUAUGCAUAUAUUGUGAUUGAGUUAUUAAGAUAAAAAUAUAACAAAUUUUGUAAAAUG